GAUGAACGCUGGCGGCGUGCCUAAUACAUGCAAGUCGAGCGAACGGACGAGAAGCUUGCUUCUCUGAUGUUAGCGGCGGACGGGUGAGUAACACGUGGAUAACCUACCUAUAAGACUGGGAUAACUUCGGGAAACCGGAGCUAAUACCGGAUAAUAUUUUGAACCGCAUGGUUCAAAAGUGAAAGACGGUCUUGCUGUCACUUAUAGAUGGAUCCGCGCUGCAUUAGCUAGUUGGUAAGGUAACGGCUUACCAAGGCAACGAUGCAUAGCCGACCUGAGAGGGUGAUCGGCCACACUGGAACUGAGACACGGUCCAGACUCCUACGAGAGGCAGCAGUAGGGAAUCUUCCGCAGUAGGCGAAAGCCUGACGGAGCAACGCCGCGUGAGUGAUAAAGGUCUUCGGAUCGUAAAACUCUGUUAUUAGGGAAGAACAUAUGUGUAAGUAACUGUGCACAUCUUGACGGUACCUAAUCAGAAAGCCACGGCUAACUACGUG
rnacentral:rRNA from 1 species